rnacentral:rRNA from 1 species
GACGAACGCUGGCGGCGUGCCUAAUACAUGCAAGUUGAGCGCUGAAGGUUGGUACUUGUACCGACUGGAUGAGCAGCGAACGGGUGAGUAACGCGUGGGGAAUCUGCCUUUGAGCGGGGGACAACAUUUGGAAACGAAUGCUAAUACCGCAUAAAAACUUUAAACACAAGCUUUAAGUUUGAAAGAUGCAAUUGCAUCACUCAAAGAUGAUCCCGCGUUGUAUUAGCUAGUUGGUGAGGUAAAGGCUCACCAAGGCGAUGAUACAUAGCCGACCUGAGAGGGUGAUCGGCCACAUUGGGACUGAGACACGGCCCAAACUCCUACGGGAGGCAGCAGUAGGGAAUCUUCGGCAAUGGACGAAAGUCUGACCGAGCAACGCCGCGUGAGUGAAGAAGGUUUUCGGAUCGUAAAACUCUGUUGGUAGAGAAGAACGUCGGUGAGAGUGGAAAGCUCAUCAAGUGACGGUAACUACCCAGAAAGGGACGGCUAACUACGUG